ensembl:lincRNA linc-57 ncRNA
GUUUUGUGUGCACGCUGAUCCUAAUAAGCCUCUAAUCAAGGAACCUACCCCCAGCUUCUGCGGACGCCGACGUCGAUUGAAAUGACCUUGAUGACAAUCGAACAUUUUUAAAUUUAUUUUUUUAUGAUUUUAUUUUUUUACCAAAAACUUUCUAAAUAAGUUUCAAACGUUUGAGAAUAAAUAUUUGUUUAAAAAAAUGCCCAUCUUCGAAAAUUUUGUUUUCAUUAAUUUUUCUCAUUGAUAUUGCUUUGAAAGUGUCCCUUAUUAAAAGCUCGCUUUGUCUGUAGUAAAAACUACAGUAAGAUUAUUUUGAAAGCUCACAUAUUGAUUUGUUCAAUAAAUACCUUGUACCGUUUUAUUUAACUUUCAAAAUCCAAUUGUACUGUUGUAAAUUGCAUUAAGUUAAAUAAAU